UUACAUUAGCUUGUGAGAGAGCAUCAAUUUAUUUGACGCCCCAAUCUCAGCAAUCAUAAGAUACAAAAAGUCCAAAUAACAGCAUGUGCACCAAGUACGGCUAAUAAUGAAAAAGGUGUCGAUAUAUGGAGAUUACCGUGAACAUUAGUGGAGGUUUGCAAUAAAAAGUAAAGGACUCAGGCCUCAUCUAGGUACCAUUAGCCAUAUAGUAGAACAGUAUGCAGUCACAAAUCGUAUAUCAUGACCCGAGAAACCUGGUACAUGAAACACUGAAGAAGAAGAACGAAGCAAGUCUGUUAGCAACACCUUCCUCCACUUAACGUGAUUCCAGUAGACAAACCAACCCUCAGUCAACAGAAAAAGCAAGCCAGGAACCCAGUUGACAGUUAUGUUCAACACAGCAGACCAUCCUUGGGUCAGAGUGUAGAGUAUCAACUGAAAGGAAGUGGAGUAUAACAGUAGGCUUGUGGUCACUACAUUUUGAUGACAACAUUCUACAUCUCUAGAAAUAAUAUACAAUUAAGCUUGUUCUUCUGGGGAAAAACGUUUCCUGAUUUGCAGACACGAGGCGUAAAAUUAUUUCAAUGUUAAAAACCAAGACUUGAUUUGACUGACUCUUUCACACAAAAUCAGAAAUCGAUGGAGAAGAAGUUCGAGCGUCCAAUUCACGUACACAAUGCUCUUACUUGCGUGACCCGAGCUAUUUCACUCGUUUAACAGCAAAACAGUGGUAGCCAAGUGGAACAUCAAUAAUCAAAUUACUAUCAUAACGAUGGCGGUAGAUUAUUAAUGUUUCCGAAGUUCGUUUUUCCCUCGAGUCACGAGAGAUUCUAGGUGUCCCAUGAAAGGUGUCUUUGGUUUGAUCUUCGUGCGUGAAUUAUUAUUACUCAGAAAAUAGAAGGCAAUUACCCGAAACUGGAAUUAGUAUAGAAAGGAAAGCUUUCUAUAUUCUAUCUCAUUAUUUCAAAAACGGCACUAAAUUUUAUUUGUAUGCAUAGAAAAUAUUGGCCCUUUUUUGUCAAUGUGUGUGUUUAUUCA